GGGGAAGUAUGGUUGCAAAGCUGAAACUUAAAGGAAUUGACGGAAGGGCACCACCAGGAGUGGAGCCUGCGGCUUAAUUUGACUCAACACGGGAAAACUCACCCGGCCCGGACACUGGAAGGAUUGACAGAUUGACAGCUCUUUCUUGAUUCAGUGGGUAGUGGUGCAUGGCCGUUCUUAGUUGGUGGAGCGAUUUGUCUGGUUAAUUCCGAUAACGAACGAGACUCUACCCUAUUAAAUAGUGACAGUAUUGUAUUUUUUGUGCUGAUCACUUCUUAGAGGGACUGGCAAAUUGAAAGCUGCACGAAAAAGAGCAAUAACAGGUCUGUGAUGCCCUUCGAUGUCCGGGGCUGCACGCGCGCUACAAUGAAAGCGUCAACGUGAGUUACGUCCUUACCUGAAAAGGUUUGGCAAUCGAAUGAAACGUUUUCUUGAAUGGAAUAGGGAAUUGCAAUUGUUUCCCUUGAACGAGGAAUUCCCAGUAAGCGUGAGUCAUUAGCUCGCGUUGAUUACGUCCCUGCCCUUUGUACACACCGCCCGUCGCUACUACCGAUUGGAUGAUUUAGUGAGGUGUUUUGACUGGCGCCAGUAGUCGGAUAUGUAUUCGGCUUCGCGCCGGGAAAUUUCCCAAACCAAAUCAUCUAGAGGAAGUAAAAGUCGUAACAAGGUUUCCCGUAGGUGAACCUGCGGGAAG
rnacentral:ncRNA from 1 species